GACGAACGCUGGCGGCGUGCUUAACACAUGCAAGUCGAACGGAAAGGCCCUGCUUUUGUGGGGUGCUCGAGUGGCGAACGGGUGAGUAACACGUGAGUAACCUGCCCUUGACUUUGGGAUAACUUCAGGAAACUGGGGCUAAUACCGGAUAGGAGCUCCUGCUGCAUGGUGGGGGUUGGAAAGUUUCGGCGGUUGGGGAUGGACUCGCGGCUUAUCAGCUUGUUGGUGGGGUAGUGGCUUACCAAGGCUUUGACGGGUAGCCGGCCUGAGAGGGUGACCGGCCACAUUGGGACUGGAAUACGGCCCAGACUCCUACGGGAGGCAGCAGAGGAGAAGAUUGCACAAUGGGCGGAAGCCUGAUGCAGCAACGCCGCGUGCGGGAUGACGGCCUUCGGGUUGUAAACCGCUUUCGCCUGUGACGAAGCGUGAGUGACGGUAAUGGGUAAAGAAGCACCGGCUAACUACGUG
rnacentral:rRNA from 1 species